rnacentral:rRNA from 1 species
UACGUAGGGGGCUAGCGUUGUCCGGAUUUAUUGGGCGUAAAGAGCGUGUAGGCGGCCAGGUAGGUCUGCUGUGAAAACUCGAGGCUCAACCUCGAGACGUCGGCGGAAACCAUCUGGCUAGAGUCCGGAAGAGGAGAGUGGAAUUCCUGGCGUAGCGGUGAAAUGCGCAGAUAUCAGGAAGAACACCCGUGGCGAAGGCGGCUCUCUGGGACGGUACUGACGCUGAGACGCGAAAGCGUGGGGAGCGAACAGG